UCUAACUGUAACUUCGAUAGGUGGAAUGAUGGAGUAACGCCCCGAAACGCCUACCCUGAUACUCCGAUUGGCGUUGCAAGAUAGUAAUUGCAGGGUCAAAAGCUCGGUGAAGUCGACUGAAUGCACUCGCUAUAUCGACAACGGUAAAAUGUAAAUGUAUCGUUAUGGCAAAAGCAAGCCAGAGGUGGCUGUGGGUGUUAGGUCGGGGGUCUACAAA
rnacentral:ncRNA from 1 species